CCUACGGGCGGCAGCAGUGGGGAAUAUUGGGCAAUGGGCGCAAGCCUGACCCAGCAACGCCGCGUGAAGGAAGAAGGCUUUCGGGUUGUAAACUUCUUUUCUGCGGGACGCCGAAAGUGACGGUACCUCCGGAAUCAGCCACGGCUAACUACGUGCCAGCCGCCGCGGUAAUACGUAGGUGGCAAGCGUUAUCCGGAUUUAUUGGGUGUAAAGGGCGUGUAGGCGGGAAAGCAAGUCAGAUGUGAUAACUCAGGGCUCAACCCUGAGCCUGCAUUUGAAACUGUUUUUCUUGAGUGCUGGAGAGGCAAGCGGAAUGCCGUGUGUAGCGGUGAAAUGCGUAGAUAUACGGAGGAACACCAGUGGCGAAGGCGGAUUGCUGGACAGUAACUGACGCUGAGGCGCGAAAGCGUGGGGAGCAAACAGGAUUAGAUACCCCAGUAGUC
rnacentral:rRNA from 1 species